GCUUACGGCAAUACCACCCUGUUUGCGCCCGAUCUCGUCUGAUCUCGGAAGUUAAACAGGGUCGGGCCUGGUUAGUACUUGGAUGGGAGGCCGCCUUGGAAUACCAGGUGCUGUAAGCU
rnacentral:rRNA from 1 species